GCCCAGAUGGUGAAAUUAGGUAGACACUAGGGACUUAAAAUCCCUUAGCUUAAAGGCUGUGCGGGUUCAAAUCCCGCUCUGGGCA
rnacentral:tRNA from 1 species